CCUACGGGAGGCAGCAGUGAGGAAUAUUGGUCAAUGGACGAGAGUCUGAACCAGCCAAGUAGCGUGAAGGAUGACUGCCCUAUGGGUUGUAAACUUCUUUUAUAUGGGAAUAAAAUGUUCCACGUGUGGGAUUUUGUAUGUACCAUAUGAAUAAGGAUCGGCUAACUCCGUACCAGCAGCCGCGGUAAUACGGAGGAUCCGAGCGUUAUCCGGAUUUAUUGGGUUUAAAGGGAGCGUAGGUGGAUUGUUAAGUCAGUUGUGAAAGUUUGCGGCUCAACCGUAAAAUUGCAGUUGAAACUGGCAGUCUGGAGUACAGUAGAGGUGGGCGGAAUUCGUGGUGUAGCGGUGAAAUGCUUAGAUAUCACGAAGAACUCCGAUUGCGAAGGCAGCUCACUGGACUGCAACUGACACUGAGGCUCGAAAGUGUGGGUAUCAAACAGGAUUAGAUACCCCAGUAGUC
rnacentral:rRNA from 1 species